rnacentral:rRNA from 1 species
CAGUAGCCACGGUAAUACGAAGGGGGCUAGCGUUGCUCGGAAUCACUGGGCGUAAAGGGUGCGUAGGCGGGUCUUUAAGUCAGGGGUGAAAUCCUGGAGCUCAACUCCAGAACUGCCUUUGAUACUGAAGAUCUUGAGUUCGGGAGAGGUGAGUGGAACUGCGAGUGUAGAGGUGAAAUUCGUAGAUAUUCGCAAGAACACCAGUGGCGAAGGCGGCUCACUGGCCCGAUACUGACGCUGAGGCACGAAAGCGUGGGGAGCAAACAGGAUUAGAUACCCCUGUAGUCCCUGUCUCUUAUAA